UCCCUGGUGGUGGUCUAGUGGCUAAGACUCCAUACUCCCAAUGUGGGGGGCCUGGGUUCGAUCCCUGGUCAGGGAA